AAGAAAAAUGAAAAUAGGCGACGAUGGAGUGGGAGACGAGUCAGUCAAUAGUCUUCAAAUACUUUUCGCUCUUCCCAUCAUCUUCCUUUCUGCAUUUUUGUGCUGUAAACAACCCACCGUAUAUCUGUAACCGCGUACCUAUAUAUUUGUACAAAGCCGCAGAAUACUUGUUUAUACGUAUUACAAACGACUAUAAAUCCGUCUUGCUUCCAUUUGAUCGAUCGAUCGGGAGUUGAGCGAUGUCGAAUUUGUACGGUGGGGCUUUCGGCGGCAACAAAGUCGACUACGUCUUCAAAACCGUGUUGAUAGGAGAUUCCGCGGUGGGGAAAUCGCAGCUGCUAGCUCGCUUUUCCAGGAAUGAGUUCAGUAUGGACUCCAAGUCCACCAUCGGUGUUGAGUUCCAGACGCGGACCGUUGAGAUCGAUCACAAAACUGUCAAGGCGCAGAUUUGGGACACUGCUGGUCAAGAAAGAUAUAGGGCGGUGACCAGUGCAUAUUACAGAGGAGCAGUAGGGGCAAUGCUCGUUUAUGAUAUCACCAAUCGUCAAUCAUUUGAUCAUAUGGCUAGGUGGCUGGAGGAAUUACGGGGCCAUGCUGACAAGAAUAUUGUCAUUAUGCUCGUAGGCAACAAAUCCGACUUGGAAACAGAUCGAGCUGUAUCAACUGAAGAUGCUAAAGAGUUCGCCCAGAGGGAGAACCUAUGCUUUAUGGAAACAUCAGCACUUGAGGCAACAAAUGUUGAACAAGCUUUCGUAACUGUCCUGACUGAGAUUUAUCGUGUCGUUAGCAAGAAAUCGCUCGUUGCUAAUGAAGCAGAAUCCGGAGGAAACGAAGCACUUCUUCAGGGUACCAAGAUUGUCAUUCCUGGACAGGAACCUGCGCCUGCUGCUAGCAACUUUAGCUGUUGUAGAUCAUCAUAGUCUAAUCCUUCAUUUCCGAAUUUUCAAGUAACCGAGUCGCAUUAUAUACAAGUAACAACACUCCCCCUUGCAGGUGAAAAUGCUAGUGCCAUCAUCAUAAGGGUAGCUAUAAGCUGUGGGGCAAGCUUUCUUGAAAACCUCUGAAUAAUUACUGGGCUUGCAAAUCUGAGGAUUGUUGUAGGCUCCUGUGCAGCAGAACUGAGGCUGAUCAAAAGCCAAGCAAGCGCUCUUACAAGCCACCGUCUCACCGCCGUCAUUGACCCUCACCUGCAACUUCUCCGGGCAUUGCAGGUUCAAGUUGGAGCUGCACUUCACGGCUGAACAGUUACCCGAUCCACCAGAUGGGACGACAGAGAUGGGCAUGUUGAACCCAUCGACGAGGCUGACAUCAUAAAAGUCUUCCGGGCUGUCUAAAGUGAACUCCGCCAGGGAAGCCGGAGGUGUCCCACCAAUGCCACCGCAUUGCAGGAGGCCACCACAGUCGCCAGUGGUGCAGUUCCCCUGCUUGCCCGAUUGGUCGAAGCUGCAGCCGCUGCGGGCCCAGAAACGGCCCGACCACCCGGUGGGUGCUACGACGUUGGUUCGCUCAUUUGGUUUGAGCUGCAGGCCGCCGUUUAUGAGCAGAGGGUGGCCGGCUCCCGAGAGGGUUCCGGGCCAUAUAUUUUCUUUACACCUGUUUUGCAACGUGAAGACUGCAGCUUUGGAUCCUGAAAUUGAGAGUAUUAGUUAGUUGGAAUGCUGUUGAUAGCUGUGGAAAGGGACAACUACCUGUGAAGAAUGGAAGAAGUGAGCCUAGGAAAAGAAGCCAUGAUGAUACCAUUGUGAUGAAUCAGAUUCACUUUCAGUUGAGCAAAAUAUAUAUAGUUGGUUGCAAAUUGCAAUAAUUGUUUUUAACCUUUUGUGUUUGGUUUCAGUUGAGAAUGCGCGGAUGUAACGUUGCCUUUUAUUAAUACUAUUAGGUAUUUAUAUGAAAUGGUUGAGAGAGAGAGAGAGAUGUUUAAUUAA